rnacentral:rRNA from 1 species
GACGAACGCUGGCGGCGUGCCUAACACAUGCAAGUCGAACGGAAAGGCCCUGCUUUUGUGGGGUGCUCGAGUGGCGAACGGGUGAGUAACACGUGAGUAACCUGUCCCUGACUUUGGGAUAUCUUCAUGAAACUGGGGCUAAUACCGGAUAGGAUCUCCUGCUGCUUGGUGGGCGUUGGAAAGUUUCGGUGGUUGGGGAUGGAAUCGCGGCUUAUCAGCUUGGUGGUGGGGUAGUGGCUUACCAAGGCUUUGACGGGUAGCCGGCCUGGGAGGGUGACCGGACACAUUGGGACUGAGAUACGGCCCAGACUCCUACGGGAGGCAGAAGUGGAGAAUAUUGCAGAAUGGGCGGGAGCCUGAUGCGGCAACGCCGUGUGCGGGAUGACGGCCUUCGGGUUGUGAACCGCUUUCGCCUGUGACGAAGCGUGAGUGACGGUAAUGGGUAAAGAAGCACCGGCUAACUACGUG